rnacentral:sRNA from 1 species
GUUGUUUCUUCUUUUUU